rnacentral:rRNA from 1 species
UACGUAGGGUGCGAGCGUUAAUCGGAAUUACUGGGCGUAAAGCGUGCGUAGGCGGUUUUGUAAGGCAGAUGUUAAAGCCCCGGGCUUAACCUGGGAAUGGCAUUUGGGACUGCAAGGCUUGAGUGCGGCAGAGGAGACUGGAAUUCCUGGUGUAGCAGUGAAAUGCGUAGAUAUCAGGAGGAAUACCGAUGGCGAAGGCAGGUCUCUGGGCUGACACUGACGCUCAUGCACGAAAGCGUGGGGAGCAAACAGG